GAUGAACGCUAGCGAUAGGCUUAACACAUGCAAGUCGAGGGGCAUCACGAAUUAGCAAUAGUUUGGUGGCGACCGGCGCACGGGUGCGUAACACGUAUACAACCUACCUUCAAUUGGGGAAUAACCUGGAGAAAUUUGGACUAAUACCCCAUAGUAAACGGGAGAGGCAUCUUUUUUGUUUUAAAGAUUUAUUGAUUGGAGAUGGGUAUGCGUAGGAUUAGCUAGUUGGUAAGGUAACGGCUUACCAAGGCAACGAUCCUUAGGGGUUCUGAGAGGAAGGUCCCCCACACUGGUACUGAGACACGGACCAGACUCCUACGGGAGGCAGCAGUGAGGAAUAUUGGUCAAUGGUCGAGAGACUGAACCAGCCAAGUCGCGUGAAGGAAGACGGCUCUAUGAGUUGUAAACUUCUUUUGUACAGGAGUAAAGUGAGACACGCGUGUUUUAUUGCAAGUACUGUACGAAUAAGCAUCGGCUAACUCCGUGCCAGCAGCCGCGGUAAUACGGAGGAUGCAAGCGUUAUCCGGAUUUAUUGGGUUUAAAGGGUGCGUAGGCGGUAUUACAAGUCAGGGGUGAGAUCUUGGUGCUUAACAUUAAAAUUGCCUUUGAAACUGUGGUACUUGAGUGUAAAAGAGGUAGGCGGAAUGUGUUGUGUAGCGGUGAAAUGCAUAGAUAUAACACAGAACCCCGAUUGCGAAGGCAGCUUACUAUCAUACAACUGACGCUGAUGCACGAAAGCGUGGGGAUCAAACAGG
rnacentral:rRNA from 1 species